rnacentral:rRNA from 1 species
UGGGGAAUCUUGGACAAUGGGGGCAACCCUGAUCCAGCCAUGCCGCGUGAGUGAUGAAGGCCUUAGGGUCGUAAAGCUCUUUCGCCUGUGAAGAUAAUGACGGUAGCAGGUAAAGAAACCCCGGCUAACUCCGUGCCAGCAGCCGCGGUAAUACGGAGGGGGUUAGCGUUGUUCGGAAUUACUGGGCGUAAAGCGCACGUAGGCGGACCAGAAAGUUGGGGGUGAAAUCCCGGGGGCUCAACCCCGGAACUGCCUCCAAAACUAUUGGUCUAGAGUUCGAGAGAGGUGAGUGGAAUUCCAAGUGUAGAGGUGAAAUUCGUAGAUAUUUGGAGGAACACCAGUGGCGAAGGCGGCUCACUGGCUCGAUACUGACGCUGAGGUGCGAAAGUGUGGGGAGCAAACAGGAUUAGAUACCCUGGUAGUCCACGCCGUAAACGAUGAGUGCUAGUCGUCGGCAGGCAUGCCUGUCGGUGACGCAGCUAACGCAUUAAGCACUCCGCCUGGGGAGUACGGUCGCAGA